CCUACGGGAGGCAGCAGUGGGGAAUAUUGGACAAUGGGCGAAAGCCUGAUCCAGCCAUGCCGCGUGUGUGAAGAAGGCCUUCGGGUUGUAAAGCACUUUCAGUGGGGAAGAAAGCCUUGGGGCUAAUACCCUCGAGGAAGGACAUCACCCACAGAAGAAGCACCGGCUAACUCCGUGCCAGCAGCCGCGGUAAUACGGAGGGUGCGAGCGUUAAUCGGAAUUACUGGGCGUAAAGCGCGCGUAGGCGGUCUGAUAAGCCGGUUGUGAAAGCCCCGGGCUCAACCUGGGAACGGCAUCCGGAACUGGCAGGCUAGAGUGCAGGAGAGGAAGGUAGAAUUCCCGGUGUAGCGGUGAAAUGCGUAGAGAUCGGGAGGAAUACCAGUGGCGAAGGCGGCCUUCUGGACUGACACUGACGCUGAGGUGCGAAAGCGUGGGUAGCAAACAGGAUUAGAUACCCUAGUAGUC
rnacentral:rRNA from 1 species